rnacentral:rRNA from 1 species
GGGUGCGUAACGCGUUGGUGACCUGCCCCGAAGUGUGGGAUAACAGUUCGAAAGGAUUGCUAAUACCGCAUGUGGUUUUCCGGAUCAGAUGCCGGAUCUCUAAAGCAGUAAUGCGCUUCGGGAGGGACCUGCGUCCCAUCAGCUAGUUGGUGAGGUAACGGCCCACCAAGGCUACGACGGGUAGGGGACCUGAGAGGGUGGUCCCCCACACUGGCACUGAAACACGGGCCAGACACCUACGGGUGGCAGCAGUAGGGAAUAUUGGGCAAUGGGCGAAAGCCUAACCCAGCAACGCCGCGUGCAUGAUGAAGGUCUUCGGAUCGUAAAAUGCUUUUCUGAGAGAUGAGAAAGGACAGUAUCUCAGGAAUAAGUCUCGGCUAACUACGUGCCAGCAGCCGCGGUAACACGUAGGAGGCAAGCGUUAUCCGGAUUUACUGGGUGUAAAGCGUGUGCAGGCGGUUCGGUAAGUUGGAUGUGAAAGCUCCUGGCUCAACUGGGAGAGGUUGUUCAAAACUGCCGGACUUGAGGACAGUAGAGGGAGAUGGAAUUCCCGGUGUAGUGGUGAAAUGCGUAGAUAUCGGGAGGAACACCAGUGGCGAAAGCGGUCUCCUGGACUGUCUCUGACGCUCAGACGCGAAAGCUAGGGUAGCAAACGGGAUUAGAGACCCCGGUAGUCCUAGCUGUAAACGAUGUGAACUUGGCGUUGGUGGUGUAAAAACCAUCAGUGCCGAAGCUAACGCGAUAAGUUCACCACCUGGGGACUACGACCGCAAGGUUAAAACUCAAAGGAAUUGACGGGUCCCCGCACAAGCAGCGGAGCGUGUGGUUUAAUUCGAUUUAUACGAAGAACCUUACCCAGGUUUGACAUGCAGGUAGUAGGGAAGCGUAAGCGGACCGACCCGCAAGGGAGCCUGCACAGGUGUUGCAUGGCUGUCGUCAGCUCGUGUCGUGAGAUGUUCGGUUAAGUCCGCCAACGAGCGCAACCCUUGUCGUAUGCUACAUGUGUCAUACGAGACCGCCGGUAUCAAGCCGGAGGAAGGUGGGGAUGAAGUCAAGUCAGCAUGGCCUUUAUACCUGGGGCUACACACACGCUACAAUGGCCGGUACAAUGGGUUGCUAAGCCGCGAGGUAGAGCCAAUCCCCAAAACCGGCCUCAGUUCAGAUCACAGGCUGCAACUCGCCUGUGUGAAGUUGGAGUUGCUAGUAAACGCGCGUCAGCUAUAGUGCGUUGAAUACGUUCCCGGGGAUUGUACACACCGCCCGUCACGUCAUGGGAGCUGGCAACACCUGAAGCCGGUAGCCUAACCGCAAGGAGGGCGCCGUCGAGGGUGGGGCUGGUGACUGGGACGAAGUCGUAACAAGGUA